rnacentral:tRNA from 1 species
UCCUCUGUGGCGCAAUUGGCUAGCGCGUCUGACUGUUAUUAGAUAAUCAGGAGGUUGGUGGUUCGAGCCCACCCGGAGGAG